AGUCCAUGGUGCAGGCAUCUCCUUAGCAGCUCCUUAAACCUCUCUCAUGCUUCAUAAAAUCGCCCACCAUCUAUCUGCAUAAAUGUAGUAAUAUCGUUACACAUUUU